AUUGAACGCUGGCGGCAUGCCUUACACAUGCAAGUCGAACGGCAGCACGGGAGCAAUCCUGGUGGCGAGUGGCGAACGGGUGAGUAAUACAUCGGAACGUGCCCAGUAGUGGGGGAUAACCCGGCGAAAGCCGGACUAAUACCGCAUACGACCUACGGGUGAAAGCGGGGGAUCGCAAGACCUCGCGCUAUCGGAGCGGCCGAUGUCAGAUUAGCUAGUUGGUGGGGUAAAGGCCUACCCAGGCGACGAUCUGUAGCUGGUCUGAGAGGACGACCAGCCACACUGGGACUGAGACACGGCCCAGACUCCUACGGGAGGCAGCAGUGGGGAAUUUUGGACAAUGGGCGCAAGCCUGAUCCAGCCAUGCCGCGUGCGGGAAGAAGGCCUUCGGGUUGUAAACCGCUUUUGUCAGGGAAGAAACGCUCCGGGCUAAUACCACGGAGUAAUGACGGUACCUGAAGAAUAAGCACCGGCUAACUACGUG
rnacentral:rRNA from 1 species